rnacentral:rRNA from 1 species
ACACAGGUGGUCAGGUAGAGAAUACCAAGGCGCUUGAGAGAACUCGGGUGAAGGAACUAGGCAAAAUGGUGCCGUAACUUCGGGAGAAGGCACGCUGACACGUAGGUGAAGUGAUUUACUCAUGGAGCUGAAGUCAGUCGAAGAUACCAGCUGGCUGCAACUGUUUAUUAAAAACACAGCACUGUGCAAACACGAAAGUGGACGUAUACGGUGUGACGCCUGCCCGGUGCCGGAAGGUUAAUUGAUGGGGUCAGCGCAAGCGAAGCUCCUGAUCGAAGCCCCGGUAAACGGCGGCCGUAACUAUAACGGUCCUAAGGUAGCGAAAUUCCUUGUCGGGUAAGUUCCGACCUGCACGAAUGGCGUAAUGAUGGCCAGGCUGUCUCCACCCGAGACUCAGUGAAAUUGAACUCGCUGUGAAGAUGCAGUGUACCCGCGGCAAGACGGAAAGACCCCGUGAACCUUUACUAUAGCUUGACACUGAACAUUGAGCCUUGAUGUGUAGGAUAGGUGGGAGGCUUUGAAGUGUGGACGCCAGUCUGCAUGGAGCCGACCUUGAAAUACCACCCUUUAAUGUUUGAUGUUCUAACGUGGACCCGUAAUCCGGGUUGCGGACAGUGUCUGGUGGGUAGUUUGACUGGGGCGGUCUCCUCCUAAAGAGUAACGGAGGAGCACGAAGGUUGGCUAAUCCUGGUCGGACAUCAGGAGGUUAGUGCAAUGGCAUAAGCCAGCUUGACUGCGAGCGUGACGGCGCGAGCAGGUGCGAAAGCAGGUCAUAGUGAUCCGGUGGUUCUGAAUGGAAGGGCCAUCGCUCAACGGAUAAAAGGUACUCCGGGGAUAACAGGCUGAUACCGCCCAAGAGUUCAUAUCGACGGCGGUGUUUGGCACCUCGAUGUCGGCUCAUCACAUCCUGGGGCUGAAGUAGGUCCCAAGGGUAUGGCUGUUCGCCAUUUAAAGUGGUACGCGAGCUGGGUUUAGAACGUCGUGAGACAGUUCGGUCCCUAUCUGCCGUGGGCGCUGGAGAACUGAGGGGGGCUGCUCCUAGUACGAGAGGACCGGAGUGGACGCAUCACUGGUGUUCGGGUUGUCAUGCCAAUGGCACUGCCCGGUAGCUAAAUGCGGAAGAGAUAAGUGCUGAAAGCAUCUAAGCACGAAACUUGCCCCGAGAUGAGUUCUCCCUGAGACUUAGAGUCUCCUGAAGGAACGUUGAAGACGACGACGUUGAUAGGCCGGGUGUGUAAGCGCAGCGAUGCGUUGAGCUAACCGGUACUAAUGAACCGUGAGGCUUAACCUUACAACGCCGAAG